rnacentral:rRNA from 1 species
AUUGAACGCUGGCGGCAGGCCUAACACAUGCAAGUCGAACGAGUGGCGGACGGGUGAGUAAUGUCUGGGAAACUGCCCGAUGGAGGGGGAUAACUACUGGAAACGGUAGCUAAUACCGCAUACCAUCGGAUGUGCCCAGAUGGGAUUAGCUAGUAGGUGGGGUAAAGGCUCACCUAGGCGACGAUCCCUAGCUGGUCUGAGAGGAUGACCCGCCACACUGGAACUGAGACACGGUCCCGAAUCCUACGGGAGGCAGCAGUGGGGAAUAUUGGACAAUGGGGGCAAGCCGGAUGGAGCCAUGCCGCGUGUAUGAAGAAGGCCUUCGGGUUGUAAAGUACUUUCAGCGAGGAGGCGGUACUCGCAGAAGAAGCACCGGCUAACUCCGUGCCAGCAGCCGCGGUAAUUC